AACUAAAGGUACUAAUGAACCUUAUCGUUUACUAACAUCACGUGCAGAAUAUCGUUUGUUACUACGUCAUGAUAAUGCUGAUUUGAGAUUGACGGAUAUGGGAUAUGAACUUGGUAUGAUUUCUGAAGAACGAUAUGCACGUUUUAAUGAAAAACGUCAGCAAAUUGAUGCGGAAAUUAAGCGUUUAUCAGAUAUUCGUAUUAAACCAAACGAACAUACGCAAGCGAUUAUCGAACAACAUGGUGGUUCUCGCUUAAAAGAUGGUAUUU
rnacentral:sRNA from 1 species